UUGCAUACUUGAUCUCUGUUAAUAAUCCAUUCAAAUUAUAGUUAUUGCAUCUUAGAGGAAGUAUUGAAAAGUGGUUGGCAGGUAGCUUCUCAGAAAAUCGAUGUGCAGUUUUAAACCUCCGAGUAACCUUUUUCUCUUUGUUAGGACUUUCAAGUACAAUUGCUUUGUCUGUGCAGGAAUGAGAAAUUUGGAGAUAAUUUCACUGUCAUCUCAGUCUGUUUUAGGAAUGAGCUCUAUUUUGGACCUAGUACAAUUGAAUCCUGUUCCUUGACAUUUGGGUUUAUAAGGAUUUUUCUUAAUUCUUAAUCAAAUGCUUCAACAAGUUUAAUAACCAUUCUGCCAUUGAUCUUUGGUAGUUUUGGAGUUAGGAUGCAUCUAAGAACAUAUACAUGUGGGAAUUGAAAUGCAGCUAAGAACUUGCAGAAAUGGAAAGUGAAGGCUAUGAAUAAGGAUUCUGGUGAAGUUGAGGAAUAUGAUGGAAGGUUUUUGGUAAUGGCUAGUGGCGAAACUAGUGAACCUUUUCUGCCUGAAAUUGAAGGGUAGAAGAGAUGCAAUGGGGAAGUGAUUCAUUCAACUGGGUUUAAGAAUGAGAAAGAGUUUAAAGAUGAAUUAACAUGUUCUUUUUGUUGGAUCUGGGAAUUCUGGCAUGGAAACUGCUUUGGAUCUUGCCGGUGUAAAGUUAUUUUACACGUGUACCGAAUGAUGUGUUGUCAUGUUUUGUUUUGAACCUUUCUGUACCAUCAAAAUGAAGAUUGAACUUAUUUAUAAUCAAAUUUUAAGACUAUAUUAU
rnacentral:lncRNA from 1 species